ensembl:lncRNA
GUGUGCUCGGAGUCUCAGAGGCAACUCCACCACAUGCAUCUUGACAGAAUAUUUUGUACAAGCCCAAUUAUAAAAGAACCCAGUAAUGCAGGCAAGCGAAAAAAGGAAAGCAAACAAAAGCUCAUCUCUGGAUUCUCUCCUUAGGUAAGCAGAUCCAACCAAACACAGGCUGUUUCCAAAGCCUUGGCAGUGCUGCCAUGCUGGCUGAGCUGGCCACAUGCUGGGUGGCUUGGAGGACCCGUGGGAGUGUUGGCUCCCAUUUCCUUGGCACCAGCAACUCCACAUCUCAGCAACGAGUUCCAUUCCCAAAAUCUGGACCUUCUUUGGGCCUCUCCUUUCUGAAGAGCGUGGUGUGUGUGACCAGCCCCUGUAGGGUGAUGUCUGUUCUACCAGGAGUGAGGAGCCUCUGUCAGCCUGCUCUGGUGGGGCAUGUGAAGCUCACAAACAGUGACCAAGGCCCAGGAAAAAGCCACCUCUGAACAUCUUCAGAGCACAUGUGUGCAUGGAAGGCUGUCCACACAAACUUUGUUUUAACACUGGCCCACAAGUUAGCCUAACCCCUUGAAUUUGGGUCUUUAUAAUGUAAAAACAGGGUACAAGUGCUUAAAAAAAAAAAAGGCAUCACUUAGCUCAUGGUCUUCCUUGCAGAAACAUGCUCUGUGAGUGUUUUAGGAUGUUUCUUUAAAGAAUAAAGCCUCAACCAACCAAAAAAAGAUAAACA